AACGAACGCUGGCGGCGUGCCUAACACAUGCAAGUCGUGCGGGAAUGGGGAGCAAUCCCCUAGUACAGCGGCGCACGGGUGAGUAACACGUAGGUAACCUACCCCUGAGACCGGGAUGACCUGUCGAAAGACGGGCUAAUACUGGGUAAGACCACGACGGCUUUGGCCGUUGAGGUAAAAGGUGGCCUCUGCUUGCAAGCUACUACUCGGGGAUGGGCCUGCGCGCCAUUCGCUAGUUGGCGGGGUAAUGGCCAACCAAGGCGAAGAUGGCUAGCUGGUCUGAGAGGAUGACCAGCCACACUGGGACUGAGACACGGCCCAGACUCCUACGGGAGGCAGCAGUGGGGAAUAUUGCGCAAUGGGCGAAAGCCUGACGCAGCGACGCCGCGUGGGUGAUGAAGGCCUUCGGGUCGUAAAGCCCUGUCGGGAGGGAAGAACCCUCAUUGGUCGAAUAGGCCGAUGAAUUGACGGUACCUCCUAAGGAAGCACCGGCUAACUCCGUGCCAGCAGCCGCGGUAAUAC
rnacentral:rRNA from 1 species